UACGUAGGGUGCAAGCGUUAUCCGGAAUUAUUGGGCGUAAAGAGCUCGUAGGCGGUUUGUCACGUCUGCUGUGAAAACUGGAGGCUCAACCUCCAGCCUGCAGUGGGUACGGGCAGACUAGAGUGCGGUAGGGGAGAUUGGAAUUCCUGGUGUAGCGGUGGAAUGCGCAGAUAUCAGGAGGAACACCGGUGGCGAAGGCGGGUCUCUGGGCCGAUACUGACGCUGAGGAGCGAAAGCGUGGGGAGCGAACAGG
rnacentral:rRNA from 1 species